GAUGAACGCUAGCGGCAGGCCUAAUACAUGCAAGUCGAACGGUGUCUUCGGACAUAGUGGCGCACGGGUGCGUAACACGUAUGCAACCUACCUUACAUUGGGGGAUAGCCUUUCGAAAGGGAGAUUAAUACCGCAUAAGACAGUAGUCUGGCAUCAGACAGCUGUUAAAGAUUUAUCGAUGUAAGCUGGGCAUGCGUCCAAUUAGUUAGUUGGCGGGGUAACGGCUCACCAAGACUAUGAUUGGUAGGGGAACUGAGAGGUCAAUCCCCCACACUGGCACUGAGAUACGGGCCAGACUCCUACGGGAGGCAGCAGUAGUGAAUAUUGGGCAAUGGACGCAAGUCUGACCCAGCCAUGCCGCGUGCAGGAAGAAGGCGUUAUGCGUUGUAAACUGCUUUUAUACAGGAAGAAACGACUCUUGCGAGAGGCAUUGACGGUACUGUAUGAAUAAGCACCGGCUAACUCCGUGCCAGCCGCCGCCGUAACAC
rnacentral:rRNA from 1 species